UGGGGAAUUUUGCGCAAUGGGCGAAAGCCUGACGCAGCGACGCCGCGUGUACGAUGAAGGCCUUUGGGUCGUAAAGUACUGUCAACGGGGACGAACGCCUCAGGUUGAAUAGGUCUGAGGUCUGACGGUACCCGUGGAGGAAGCACCGGCUAACUCUGUGCCAGCAGCCGCGGUAAUACGGAGGAUGCAAGCGUUAUUCGGAAUUAUUGGGCGUAAAGCGUCCGCAGGUGGUGCCUCAAGUCUGCUGUCAAAGACCGAAGCUCAACUUCGGGCAGGCAGUGGAAACUGAAGCACUAGAGUACGGUAGGGGUAGAGGGAAUUUCCAGUGUAGCGGUGAAAUGCGUAGAGAUUGGAAAGAACACCAGUGGCGAAGGCGCUCUACUGGACCGUAACUGACACUCAGGGACGAAAGCUAGGGGAGCGAAAGGGAUUAGAUACCCCUGUAGUCC
rnacentral:rRNA from 1 species